UACGAAGGGUGCAAACGUUGCUCGGAAUUAUUGGGCGUAAAGCGCACGUAGGCGGCUUAGCAAGUCGGAUGUGAAAUCCCUUGGCUCAACCAAGGAAGUGCAUCCGAAACUGCUGAGCUUGAGUACCAAAGAGGAUCGCGGAAUUCCCGGUGUAGAGGUGAAAUUCGUAGAUAUCGAGAGGAACACCGGUGGCGAAGGCGGCCUUCUGGACAGUGACUGACGCUGAGACGCGAAAGCGUGGGGAGCAAACAGG
rnacentral:rRNA from 1 species